rnacentral:rRNA from 1 species
AACGAACGCUGGCGGCAGGCUUAACACAUGCAAGUCGAGCGCAUCCUUCGGGGUGAGCGGCAGACGGGUGAGUAACGCGUGGGAAUCUACCUUUUGCUACGGAAUAGCUCCGGGAAACUGGAAUUAAUACCGUAUGUGCCCUUAGGGGGAAAGAUUUAUCGGCAAGAGAUGAGCCCGCGUUGGAUUAGCUAGUUGGUGGGGUAAAGGCCUACCAAGGCGACGAUCCAUAGCUGGUCUGAGAGGAUGAUCAGCCACAUUGGGACUAAGACACGGCCCAAACUCCUACGGGAGGCAGCAGUGGGGAAUAUUGGACAAUGGGCGCAAGCCUGAUCCAGCCAUGCCGCGUGAGUGAUGAAGGCAUUAGGGUUGUAAAGCUCUUUCACCGGAGAAGAUAAUGACGGUAUCCGGAGAAGAAGCCCCGGCUAACUUCGUG